rnacentral:misc_RNA from 1 species
CGCUCAUAUACUUUCCUCCGAUCAUGAAGAAGGUAUUGUGGUUCCAAUUCAUUCACAAGGAAAGGCUUUCUUAAUGCAGCAUAUGCUUCUGCCUUCUUCAAUGGAUAUCCACUGGAGUAGAAGGCAAUCAAGCAGUCACAUAACGGCCAGCACUCAAUUGGAUCCUCAAGAAUAGCUUUGUCCCCAAAGUACACAACCUCAAAUUCCCCAAAACACUGCAAUCUUUCAAGAAUCUGUUCCAUUGGCGCAGAAAAUACCUUCUUUUCCAUUACACAAACACCAAUAGUUAUCUUCUUCCCGACACUUUCCUCCUCCUUCUCCUUCUUCAUCUUCAUCUUCUUUUUCUUGUCUUUCUCUUUCUUCUUCUCUGACUGACAAAAAGCUCCAAGAUUUG